rnacentral:lncRNA from 1 species
GGGGAGGGUUCUGUACACGGCGAAGACUGAUGUGCAGCUUGAACCUGCGGCCAGGCCAGGGAAGCCAGGAGCCCUCUGUUCUCUCUGCUCAGCAUUCGUCAGGACCCUCCUGGGCCCCAGAGGCACAGAAUGGAAGUCACGUCUCCUGCCUUGAGUGGACCCUGGCACACUUCCUCCCGCUGCUCCCCAGACUCUCCGGUGGAGGUCUUGUUGUCAAGGGCCCUGUCUCCAUGACGGUGAGACCCACACUAAUGUCCAGGCAGAAGGCCUUCCAGUCCCGUGACAGUGGCUGGUGCUGUCAGAACCCCAAGUGGGACCCAGAGCGAGAGCCCGGGCUUGGUGCUCUCAGCCCUGGCGGCCCUGGCUCCUGGCACUGUCCUGUCAGCCUCCUCCGGCAGGCCCCGGCAGACCCGCCCUCACCACUGACCUUGGCGUUUUAAAAAUAACUUUUAACUCUAGUGGAAUACUUGGAGCACACAUCGGCAUGAGGAAGGAAGUGAGAUUACCAGGUCCCACAGCGCACAGGGACUCAACCACUGGCCCUCCCCACCCCCCUGGUGGCUUGCAGUCCCUACUGCACAUUUGCACCUUAAAAUGACCUGGGGAGCUUAAAAAAUCCCUCCCGCCUGGGCCCCAUCCCAGGCUAAUCACACCAGGCCCUGGGAAGCCUG